UUCUUCAGAUUCCAUAAAGUGAAUGGGAGAUGACUUUUAACAGCGAAUAUUUUGAGUGAAUGUUUGUUCGUAUCGUUUGGACUUUCGUUCGUGUCGUUUGGACUGAAUAUCUUUAAGCCAUGUAAGCGAAAUUGAUGUUGGUGUCGUUUGGAGUGACUUGAUGUUCCUCUCAUCAAUGACCAUCUUAACUCCUUUAUCCCACUAAUGAUUCCUCAUUGAAUUCAAUGCAUCUCCCUUCACUUUCAGUCGGUGAAUCUCUGUGUAUAAAAAGACAUCAUCAGUAAACAAGACGAGAUGCAGCCGUUAAAGCACCGUCCGUACAACCACCACAUAAACAUUCCCUGUUGAACAAUAUUUGUACCCAAUUUCAGAUCCACAUCCGUCGACGCCAUAUCAUACCGGGAUCAUCCUGAGAAUCAUGUGCAGCGACGUUACCGAAAGAUAAGGCACGGCAUGAGUGAACGAAAGACUGACGCCACAGCGCAGAUGAUAAGGAUACGCCCGUAGAACGGCUGAUAGCAUGGAGACAAUGAUGACAGAGAUAUGAAGACUAAGACUAAUUAAGUAUUGUGUCUGGUUAUGUUUCAACACAAGAUGUUACACGCAAGUACGCACCGCCUUGCUCCGGUGGGAGAUCGCUGGCUACGCUAAUGUUCCAGUCACAGAAGGAAGCUCUGCACCCUUGAACUGAUUUUGUGCACGGUUAAAAAUGGGAUAGGAGAUGUCUCUCCUCUCUUCUGAGUAUAAAGUGCAGCUGGGAUUCUAUUGAGAAGGUCUAUGACUAUCCGUGUGAAGUCACUAAUUCUCGCCAUCUGACCUCUGAUCAGUCUUGCAAUAUUCAUAAGCGAGUACAGUUAUGAUGAUUGUUACACUUGGUGGAGCUUUCUCUGCAUUAGGGAAUAUCAAUCCCCCAGCUGAAUAAAAUAUAUAUACUGUUGAUGGGAUUAACAUCACUAUCCAACUUAAACUAACAGGUGAGGAAAACUUCAUCUUGCUCUAUAUCAUUUAAAC